rnacentral:rRNA from 1 species
AUGAACGCUAGCUACAGGCUUAACACAUGCAAGUCGAGGGGCAGCAUGGUCUUAGCUUGCUAAGGCCGAUGGCGACCGGCGCACGGGUGAGUAACACGUAUCCAACCUGCCGUCUACUCUUGGACAGCCUUCUGAAAGGAAGAUUAAUACAAGAUGGCAUCAUGAGUCCGCAUGUUCACAUGAUUAAAGGUAUUCCGGUAGACGAUGGGGAUGCGUUCCAUUAGAUAGUAGGCGGGGUAACGGCCCACCUAGUCUUCGAUGGAUAGGGGUUCUGAGAGGAAGGUCCCCCACAUUGGAACUGAGACACGGUCCAAACUCCUACGGGAGGCAGCAGUGAGGAAUAUUGGUCAAUGGGCGAGAGCCUGAACCAGCCAAGUAGCGUGAAGGAUGACUGCCCUAUGGGUUGUAAACUUCUUUUAUAAAGGAAUAAAGUCGGGUAUGGAUACCCGUUUGCAUGUACUUUAUGAAUAAGGAUCGGCUAACUCCGUGCCAGCAGCCGCGGUAAUACGGAGGAUCCGAGCGUUAUCCGGAUUUAUUGGGUUUAAAGGGAGCGUAGAUGGAUGUUUAAGUCAGUUGUGAAAGUUUGCGGCUCAACCGUAAAAUUGCAGUUGAUACUGGAUAUCUUGAGUGCAGUUGAGGCAGGCGGAAUUCGUGGUGUAGCGGUGAAAUGCUUAGAUAUCACGAAGAACUCCGAUUGCGAAGGCAGCCUGCUAAGCUGCAACUGACAUUGAGGCUCGAAAGUGUGGGUAUCAAACAGGAUUAGAUACCCUGGUAGUCCACACGGUAAACGAUGAAUACUCGCUGUUUGCGAUAUACUGCAAGCGGCCAAGCGAAAGCGUUAAGUAUUCCACCUGGGGAGUACGCCGGCAACGGUGAAACUCAAAGGAAUUGACGGGGGCCCGCACAAGCGGAGGAACAUGUGGUUUAAUUCGAUGAUACGCGAGGAACCUUACCCGGGCUUAAAUUGCAGAUGAAUUACGGUGAAAGCCGUAAGCCGCAAGGCAUCUGUGAAGGUGCUGCAUGGUUGUCGUCAGCUCGUGCCGUGAGGUGUCGGCUUAAGUGCCAUAACGAGCGCAACCCUUAUCUUCAGUUACUAACAGGUUAUGCUGAGGACUCUGGAGAGACUGCCGUCGUAAGAUGUGAGGAAGGUGGGGAUGACGUCAAAUCAGCACGGCCCUUACGUCCGGGGCUACACACGUGUUACAAUGGGGGGUACAGAGGGCCGCUACCACGCGAGUGGAUGCCAAUCCCCAAAACCUCUCUCAGUUCGGACUGGAGUCUGCAACCCGACUCCACGAAGCUGGAUUCGCUAGUAAUCGCGCAUCAGCCACAGCGCGGUGAAUACGUUCCCGGGCCUUGUACACACCGCCCGUCAAGCCAUGGGAGCCGGGGGUACCUGAAGUGCGUAACCGCGAGGAGCGCCCUAGGGUAAAACUGGUGACUGGGGCU